GGUUAAGCGACUAAGCGUACACGGUGGAUGCCCUGGCAGUCAGAGGCGAUGAAGGACGUGCUAAUCUGCGAUAAGCGUCGGUAAGGUGAUAUGAACCGUUAUAACCGGCGAUUUCCGAAUGGGGAAACCCAGUGUGAUUCGUCACACUAUCAUUAACUGAAUCCAUAGGUUAAUGAGGCGAACCGGGGGAACUGAAACAUCUAAGUACCCCGAGGAAAAGAAAUCAACCGAGAUUCCCCCAGUAGCGGCGAGCGAACGGGGAGCAGCCCAGAGCCUGAAUCAGUGUGUGUGUUAGUGGAAGCGUCUGGAAAGGCGCGCGAUACAGGGUGACAGCCCCGUACACAAAAAUGCACAUGCUGUGAGCUCGAUGAGUAGGGCGGGACACGUGGUAUCCUGUCUGAAUAUGGGGGGACCAUCCUCCAAGGCUAAAUACUCCUGACUGACCGAUAGUGAACCAGUACCGUGAGGGAAAGGCGAAAAGAACCCCGGCGAGGGGAGUGAAAAAGAACCUGAAACCGUGUACGUACAAGCAGUGGGAGCACGCUUAGGCGUGUGACUGCGUACCUUUUGUAUAAUGGGUCAGCGACUUAUAUUCUGUAGCAAGGUUAACCGAAUAGGGGAGCCGAAGGGAAACCGAGUCUUAACUGGGCGUUAAGUUGCAGGGUAUAGACCCGAAACCCGGUGAUCUAGCCAUGGGCAGGUUGAAGGUUGGGUAACACUAACUGGAGGACCGAACCGACUAAUGUUGAAAAAUUAGCGGAUGACUUGUGGCUGGGGGUGAAAGGCCAAUCAAACCGGGAGAUAGCUGGUUCUCCCCGAAAGCUAUUUAGGUAGCGCCUCGUGAAUUCAUCUCCGGGGGUAGAGCACUGUUUCGGCAAGGGGGUCAUCCCGACUUACCAACCCGAUGCAAACUGCGAAUACCGGAGAAUGUUAUCACGGGAGACACACGGCGGGUGCUAACGUCCGUCGUGAAGAGGGAAACAACCCAGACCGCCAGCUAAGGUCCCAAAGUCAUGGUUAAGUGGGAAACGAUGUGGGAAGGCCCAGACAGCCAGGAUGUUGGCUUAGAAGCAGCCAUCAUUUAAAGAAAGCGUAAUAGCUCACUGGUCGAGUCGGCCUGCGCGGAAGAUGUAACGGGGCUAAACCAUGCACCGAAGCUGCGGCAGCGACACUAUGUGUUGUUGGGUAGGGGAGCGUUCUGUAAGCCUGUGAAGGUGUACUGUGAGGUAUGCUGGAGGUAUCAGAAGUGCGAAUGCUGACAUAAGUAACGAUAAAGCGGGUGAAAAGCCCGCUCGCCGGAAGACCAAGGGUUCCUGUCCAACGUUAAUCGGGGCAGGGUGAGUCGACCCCUAAGGCGAGGCCGAAAGGCGUAGUCGAUGGGAAACAGGUUAAUAUUCCUGUACUUGGUGUUACUGCGAAGGGGGGACGGAGAAGGCUAUGUUGGCCGGGCGACGGUUGUCCCGGUUUAAGCGUGUAGGCUGGUUUUCCAGGCAAAUCCGGAAAAUCAAGGCUGAGGCGUGAUGACGAGGCACUACGGUGCUGAAGCAACAAAUGCCCUGCUUCCAGGAAAAGCCUCUAAGCAUCAGGUAACAUCAAAUCGUACCCCAAACCGACACAGGUGGUCAGGUAGAGAAUACCAAGGCGCUUGAGAGAACUCGGGUGAAGGAACUAGGCAAAAUGGUGCCGUAACUUCGGGAGAAGGCACGCUGAUAUGUAGGUGAAGUCCCUCGCGGAUGGAGCUGAAAUCAGUCGAAGAUACCAGCUGGCUGCAACUGUUUAUUAAAAACACAGCACUGUGCAAACACGAAAGUGGACGUAUACGGUGUGACGCCUGCCCGGUGCCGGAAGGUUAAUUGAUGGGGUCAGCGCAAGCGAAGCUCUUGAUCGAAGCCCCGGUAAACGGCGGCCGUAACUAUAACGGUCCUAAGGUAGCGAAAUUCCUUGUCGGGUAAGUUCCGACCUGCACGAAUGGCGUAAUGAUGGCCAGGCUGUCUCCACCCGAGACUCAGUGAAAUUGAACUCGCUGUGAAGAUGCAGUGUACCCGCGGCAAGACGGAAAGACCCCGUGAACCUUUACUAUAGCUUGACACUGAACAUUGAGCCUUGAUGUGUAGGAUAGGUGGGAGGCUUUGAAGUGUGGACGCCAGUCUGCAUGGAGCCGACCUUGAAAUACCACCCUUUAAUGUUUGAUGUUCUAACGUGGACCCGUAAUCCGGGUUGCGGACAGUGUCUGGUGGGUAGUUUGACUGGGGCGGUCUCCUCCUAAAGAGUAACGGAGGAGCACGAAGGUUGGCUAAUCCUGGUCGGACAUCAGGAGGUUAGUGCAAUGGCAUAAGCCAGCUUGACUGCGAGCGUGACGGCGCGAGCAGGUGCGAAAGCAGGUCAUAGUGAUCCGGUGGUUCUGAAUGGAAGGGCCAUCGCUCAACGGAUAAAAGGUACUCCGGGGAUAACAGGCUGAUACCGCCCAAGAGUUCAUAUCGACGGCGGUGUUUGGCACCUCGAUGUCGGCUCAUCACAUCCUGGGGCUGAAGUAGGUCCCAAGGGUAUGGCUGUUCGCCAUUUAAAGUGGUACGCGAGCUGGGUUUAGAACGUCGUGAGACAGUUCGGUCCCUAUCUGCCGU
rnacentral:rRNA from 1 species